GAUGAACGCUGGCGGCGUGCCUAAUACAUGCAAGUCGAGCGAACAGAUGCGGAGCUUGCUCCUCUGACGUUAGCGGCGGACGGGUGAGUAACACGUGGAUAACCUCCCUAUAAGACUGGUAUCACUUCGGGAAACCGGCUCUAAUACCGGAUAAUAUAUUGAACCGCAUGGUUCAAUAGUGAAAGACGGUUUUGCUGUCACUUAUAGCUGGAUCCGCGCCGCAUUAGCUAGUUGGUAAGGUAACGGCUUACCAAGGCAACGGUGCGUAGCCGACCUGAGAGGGGGAACCGCCACUCAGAAGCUGAGAGGCGACCCAGACACUGACGGGAGGCAGCAGUAGGUAAGCUACCGCAAAGGGCGAAAGCCUGACGGAGCAACGCCGCGUGAGUGAUGAAGGGCUGCGGAUCGUAAACUCUGUUAUUAGGUAAGAACAAAUGUGUAAGUAACUAUGGACGUCUUGACGGUACCUAAUCAGAAAGCCACGGCUAACUACGUG
rnacentral:rRNA from 1 species